AGAAAUUCAGCAUGAAUCUUUAUGGGAUUCAUGAAUCAUGCUUUGGAGAAUUGAAUAAUCAAUUACUAUAAAGCAUCUUCCCUAAAUUUGAUUUGGGUCCCUAUAAUAUAGUAUACUAAAAUUAAUGCAGCAUGCUGCUAAUGUCUAAGUGAGACUAAUUCAAAUGAAGCAAUUGGAUUUAUUAUUUAAUUAUGUCAAUUGCAUCAUGUAUAUCAUAUAUAUAAUAAGGUGGUAUGUCCCAUUUGAUUUAUAUCCUUUGCUUAGCUUCUGAGUCAUAAAAUUAACC
rnacentral:lncRNA from 1 species